UUUAGGGUUAGUUUUUUUUUUGAUAAUAAUUUACUCCAAUAGCAGUAAGGCUUCCUAUGGUAGUUUGGGGUAUCCCUAGUCAGGCUCCGUCAUGAAUUCAAGACAUAUGUUCCGUUCCUAAAAUGAAAAAAAAGAAUAAUUAGUUUAUGUUCACACACUCACCUUCAAUUGGAAGACAAAUAUCCUGAUAAUCUUCAAUCCAAAUCUGGAAGUGAAGUUUCCUUGUCUUCAAAACUGGGUCAAUUAGGAUGGAGGUAUGGUUUCGUCAUCGUCUUUUAUAUUCCCGUCAUUCUUCCAGUAGAAAUCUAGAAAAGAAAAAAAAAACACAUAAGUUAAUGAGAUUCAUUAUAAUUCGUCAUUAAACCUCACGAUUUCAUGCUGAACCACAACCAAAAUCAGUAAAAAUAUGCAAAUUUACCUGCAUAUUCAGUCCGCACAAAUAAUCCAUUCGCACCGCACAGCUGUUUACAUUUGUUUUGACGUUUCUCCGUGCAGUAUGGGUGAAUCAUUGUGUUAGUGAAAUGGUGUGGUACCGAUUGUUGUAGUAGGGAUGUUCAGGUUUUGGAAUUUCGAUAUGUGCCAUUUUGAUCGAACUUAUGUUCGAUGUCAGAUACAUAAAGAAAUUCGUGUUGGGUGUUUGUGGGUGUUGAUUUAUGUUAUGUUUUGCUAGAUAUGAUUCUGGCGUAUGACGUUAUCGACCCUACAGUUUUCGUAUUGAAGUUUGGUACGUUUUAAAUAAAUUUUCUGUUGGCCGAUGGUAUCGGCGUGUGAAGAUGAUAUUCAUGUAGACUUUUUGUUGAUGUUUAUGUUUUCUCAUGAGAUACACGUUUCCCAAAGUUAAGUAAUGGGGGUCUCCAUGAGAAAAUAGUUCGGUGAAUUAUGAUGUCGGUCGCUAUCCAAUGCUAUUAUUGGAGGAUAACCGAGUCAUAAUGAACCUGUUUGGGGAGAAGACAUGAGAUAAAAUUGAGAAAUUUUAUUCUUAUUGUCGAAUUUGUAUUGUUAGAGUCUUUCGAGUUAUUCAUGUUAUGAUUCACCUACGAUGCAAGGGGGAAUGUCAAACACUCAAAUAUGGUAACAUACAUGUUUAAGAUAGGAGAUGUUUUUUUUUGUAAUAUGUAUGUCAAUAUAUUGUAAAUAGUACACAACAUUAUUUAAUCAUUCAUUAUUAUUUAGAAUUAUACAUAAAAAAGAAACGUUCGCUGCUAUCAUUGUUAGGUUUGUCAGGAAUGUUUUCUUAUUAAGGUAAGGAGUGCCCUUACGAAAAUUUGGUUGACAUUUUCAACCAAAUUUUCGUAAAAAGAGCAUGGUGUUAUGUAGCGGUCAGUACUAUAAAUCACUUUUAGGGCAAAACAUACUCUAAUAUGUAUUUGCCCUAAGGUAGACAACGACGCAAAUGGGCUGAGCUGAUCAUUAUACAGCGUAAAGCGUACUAGUUUUAGUUCGGGAGAGAGUCCGGGAAAGAUUUCCGCGAGACAAGGUUCAGGGAUGCUGCUUUGUAUGGAAGGGGAGAGGGAAGGCUGGAAGAUGGUUUUUCGAAACCAGAAUGAUUCGGCCAAUGACAAUCCUCAGAUUUCCGAGGACAGCCGACGAGAUUUGGGAAAUGACGUACUUCCUGUAAGUACGUUUGACUCCACUUUCCCUGAUCUGAGGAUUACUAAGUUUGCUCACUUUGUUCGUGACUGCAGAAAAUAGUGGAAGUGCGCGUGCUCGUUUCACUAAUUCUAAAGGUCAUAGUAAAACUGUAAAGUAGUAAACCAAAGGUAGCGUGUUGUGCGUGUGUGUGUUCGAGUUACAGUUACCCGUUCUCCCGCAGGCAAUUCGGAAAAGCCGCUUUAUAUGCCGCUCAAAGAGCUCGUAUUCAACAUCCGCAGCACGAACAGCAAAAUCACCCGUAGAGCCGGUCAUCAGCAGCAGCCAACAAAUUUGAACCAAUAGUUGGU